UUGGACCUGGAGCACCCAAGAAGCCCAGAAUGUUCAAGAAUGAAUGCCCCCUCUCUCAUACGCAGCUGAUAACAUUUGUUGUUUGCACCCAAAGUUGGAUCUUCUGGGUAUCCUUGGGAGGCAAAACAGACACCAACCAGUCUGUGCCAGAUUGAGAAAAUGCUUGUGUAGCUGGGGUCUUUUGCAGAUAAGCCAACUCUCCUAUCUUAUAGUCUUUCCAAGGGAUAAGAAUGUAGCUUUUGCCAUCUCCUUGCUACUCCUUUUUGGGAAGGAUUUUCUCCUUUUCCCACUUUAUUGAACCUUUCUUCUCCAUGCCAGCCACUUCCUGUUUUCUCCUCCUUCUUUUGUUGUAAUGUCAUAAAUAUGCAAACUUCCAUAAGGACUAUGAACCCUUCGGGUUCACAUGCAUGUUUAUUUCUCCUGUAAUAAACCUGGUUUUCCCAUAAGUCGCAAGAUGUGAUAGUUGGUUGACAAUGAAUGACAGAUUAACUCAAUCACUAGAAAGUAAUGGGGCAAGGCAUUAUGCUAAUGAUGACUAUUAAUGCUAGAGACCAGUGAUAAACCAAUAUGACAUAUUGUAUUGAUAGUGUACUAGAAUGAGGGGAGCUAGUUUGGGGGUUCCCUAAGGAUGGUGGCUUUUUGAGCUGUUUUUGCUCUUCAGACUGAAGGCUCCCUGAAGGCAGAGCUUUUGCUUCAUUGCUCAAAACACUUCUCUGGCUCCCUAUUGCCUAUAGGAUAAAAAUUAAAAUUCCUUAUGAAUUUUAAACACUUCCACAAUCUGGCUCUCAUUUACUUUUCCAGCUUUACUUCAACUUAUUCUCCCUAAUGUCCUUUAUAUUCUAGUUGUACCAGAUUCUUGGCUGUUAACUGAUCUCUGAGAGCAAUUCCCUUUGCUUGGAACACACUUAUCUCACCUCUGCCACUUAAAACUUGCUCUUCCUUCAAGGAUCAGCUCAGAGAGCAUUGUUAAGCUUUUACUGGCACAGACCUGGAGGCAAGGAAAACCCUUUUAACAAGUGGAGUGGCCCAAAAAGGCAAUGGACCACCUUGGAAGAUGUUAUAUUCAUCACUCAUGUUUAGAAUAUCAGAAAUGUUAAGACUGCUCUUUCCUGAUGCAAUGAAAGAUAGACCAUCCAUGGGCAGGAAACACCACUAUUCUUUCUGGAAAGUGAGAAUCCUUUUCCUAAAGAAGACCUUCCAGAGCAGUAAUGAACUGAACCAGCUACACCCAGUGAAAGUACUCUGGGAGAUGACUAUGAACCAUUACAUAGAAUUCUCAAUCCCCAUAUUUUUGUCCACCUGCAUUUUUGAUUUCCUUCACAGGCUAAUUUUACACUAUUUCAAAGUACGAUUCUUUUUGUACAGAAAAUAACGGUUUGGACAUGUAUACUUACAUUGUAUUUAAUUUAUACUUUAACAUAUUUAACAUGUAUUGGUCAACCUGCCAUCUAGGGGAGGGGAUGGGGGGAAGGAGGGGAAAAAUUGGAAAAAAAAGGUUUGGCAAUUGUCAAUGUUGUAAA